rnacentral:rRNA from 1 species
CCCUUAGAUGUUCUGGGCUGCACACGUGCUACACUGGCAGGUUCAGCGAGCUUCAUGCCCUGAUCUGAAAGGAAUGGGAAAUCUUUUCAAAACCUGCCGUGCUUGGGAUAGAUGUUUGCAAUUAUUCAUCUUCAACGAGGAUUGCCUUGUAAGCGCACGUCAUCAGCGUGGAUUGAAUACGACCCUGUAUUCUGUACACACCGCCCGUCGCUCCUACCGAUUGAAGUUUUCGGUGAGUUGACAGGAGGAUUUUUUUGAAACUGGUUCGCCAGUGGAUUUUAGAUCCAAAUGCCAACGAAUCGAUGGCUUUAGAGGAAGGAGAAGUCGUAACA